rnacentral:ncRNA from 1 species
UAAUGUAGGUAAGGGAAGUCGGCAAAUUGGAUCCGUAAGUUCGGGAUAAGGAUUGGCUCUGAGGAGCGGGGCGUGUCGGGCUGGGUCGGGAAGCGAGUCUGGCUGACGUGCCGGGUCUGGGGAUCCGAGCUCGGUCCCGUGCCUUGGCCUCCCGCGGAUCUUCCUUGCUGCGAGGCUUCCGUUGGCGGCCUGCCGUCGGCGGUCGUCCCCUUCGGCCGCCAUUCAACGCUCAGCUCAGAACUGGCACGGACUAGGGGAAUCCGACUGUCUAAUUAAAACAAAGCAUUGCGAUGGCCUCCACAGGUGUUGACGCAAUGUGAUUUCUGCCCAGUGCUCUGAAUGUCAACGUGAAGAAAUUCAAAAAAGCGUGGGUAAACGGCGGGAGUAACUAUGACUCCCUUAAACCCUCAGGUAAGAGGCACGAGCCGUCUAUGCACGAAAGACAUAGACACCCCAAACUUAGAA